rnacentral:rRNA from 1 species
UACGGAGGGGCUAGCGUUGUUCGGAAUUACUGGGCGUAAAGCGCACGUAGGCGGCUUUGUAAGUUAGAGGUGAAAGCCCAGGGCUUAACCCUGGAAUUGCCUUUAAGACUGCAUCGCUUGAAUCGUGGAGAGGUGAGUGGAAUUCCGAGUGUAGAGGUGAAAUUCGUAGAUAUUCGGAAGAACACCAGUGGCGAAGGCGACUCACUGGACACGUAUUGACGCUGAGGUGCGAAAGCGUGGGGAGCAAACAGG